UGGGGGUUUACUGUUAUUUUGUCAAGAUAACAAACCUGUUGCAGGGCCCCUAU
rnacentral:tRNA from 1 species